AAAAAGGUAAGCUAAAUUAAGCUUUUGGAUUCAUACCUCAAAUAUAGAUUAUUUCUCCUUUUUA
rnacentral:tRNA from 1 species